rnacentral:piRNA from 1 species
ACAAAAAACCUCGGGGUGUCUGGUAUAAAU